UAUUGCUGUUGGAGAGUGAAAGUGAAAAUGAAAAGGUGUGGGGGUGUAGGGGUGACAUCAAAAGUUAAAAAGAUAAAUAAUAAAUGUAAGAAAUGACAGUUUUGGAAUAAAAACAAAAUUAAGGAGGUGUAGGGAGUAGCUGGAGAGACGUAGGGAGUAACUCCCAUUCUUUAAACGUGCUUCUUUUUUCUUCCUUUUAUUGGGAAUAAGGCCCAACAUCCCUCCAGGCCCAAAAGGGUCCACUUUGCUUGAGAGCCCGCUGAGAGAUAAAAUAUCACGUGGGAAAAAGGCUCUGGCAGAUAAGCUGCCUUCGUCACACGCGCAAAAGAGAGAGAGAGAGAGAGCUCAAAGCUCUUCUGGAAACUAGAGAGAGAAGAAGCGUGGAAGUCCUUGCAAGCGAUCAACCAUGGAUGUUGGGAGGAGAAGAGAUGGAGAUCUACACAACGGCAUCAUGAAAGGUAAGAAAAGAAUAAACUUUGUUUGAUUCUCUUAAAUGAUAUUUUUGCAUCAUACAACUGUUGAAAAUGAAAGGGGAAACUCUAUUUAUAGAGUUUAUGGGAAGAAGGGAAAAACCAAAAAUCAUAAAACCUUAACUAACUAAAAUAAAUUGAUUAUUGUCUUUAGACAGUAAUCUAACCAAUUAUAUUCGGUCUCAAUACCUUUAUCUUAUUAUCUCACGUAUUGAUUGCUUUAUUUUUCACUUUAUUUUUCCCAUUUCCUCCUUUAUAAUAUAAUUAUUUUUCGUUUCCAUUGUUGUUUCAGUUUGCAGAUAGAUUGAAUGUUGUGAACAAUGGCUUCAUUCAAGGCCUUAUACAGUAUGUCUGUCUUUUUUAGAAGUAUAUAUCAUCUCGGUUAUGUAAAUAACCGAUAUCAUAUCUACUUUCUAUAAUGGUUUCCUAGACAACCGAAACCAACAAGUUGAUCAAAAUUUUAAAAUUGUCACUUGCUUUUUCAUUUUUUUUUCUAAGAAGGACACAUGACAUCGGUUAUUGGAACAACCGAUACCAAAAGGUUGAUGAAAAGGUUAAAAUUGUCACUGAAAUUUAUAAUUUUUUUUAUUUGAUUAAAAGUCUUUAGGCAUCAGUGUUACGAAUAAUUGCUGCCAUAUGUUUGUCUAGGGUUAAAUUCGCAAAAGAAACAUAGGUUACCACUUCAAAGUCUGUGAACUAGUGUCAUUGUCUAUUGCUCAACUCACUUCAUAUGAUUGUCGUGGUUUUUUUUUCGGUGUUUUUGUGUUUGUGUUUGUUCCUUAGAUUAAUCUGUUGUUAAUAUUUGUCUGGAUUAGCACUGUGACAGGAUUAUGGUGGGAUUUGAAAUAUUUCUCUUAAACAUGAUCUCCAUUCUUUUUCAUUGUUGCUCGCCUCUCACACUUCCAUUGUCUUAUAUUUGUCAUGAAAAUUUAUCUUUAAUACGAGCCUAUAAUUUUCUAGCAUGUUGUUUAUUUUUUGUAUGUUGAAUUUAUGAUUAAUUUUAUGCUUAAAUAUAUUUUAUAAGGUUGGCUAAUAAUCUUCCACUUUCCACUGGUCAUGAAUAUAAGUGACCCAAAUUGCUAACACCAAUUUCUAGGAUAGGGUGAUGGAAAAGAGAAUUCAGAUGAGGCUAAGAGGGUAAGAGAGUUAGGGAUUAUCGAAGAAGAGAACUUAACUGUGAUGGACGAAGCUCAAGCAACAAUGGUGAAAAACGAAGGACGUGACUCAGGCGAAGGACGCGACUUAGGCAAAGGACUCAACUCAGGCGAGGACGCGACUUAGGCGAAGAAUGCGACUCAGGCGGACGAUGAAGACUCAGACCAGUGUAAUGAACAACACAAAACGGUGUCCAAGAGCAACUUUGGAGAGAAUUAUGAAGAAGAGGUGUGCCGAAGUGUAGAAGAGAUCAUGGAAAUUAGAGAGAAGAAAAAUGUGAGCAUGGAAGGCCAAAUUAUUUCGCUCUUUUUUAGCUAUUUCCAUCCCAAUGCGCCAAAAGCAUUUGUUUUUUUUAAAAGAAAUCAUAACUUUACUGCAGUUUUUAUAAAAACCGCCUGAAUUUAUUGGAGGUUUCCAUAACCGCCAAAAAUAAACCUCCACUAAAAUAUAUUAUUUUUGUAGUGGUACGACAAAUAAUGAAAAGUAUUAGUGUAUAAUGACUCUCAAAUUUAGAUGACUACAAAAUAGAAAAACAAAGUGAU
rnacentral:lncRNA from 1 species